GAUCCCCGGUGCUUGAGUCCGCCGGGGACGGCCACGAGACACACACGUGGAGGCGACGUGACAACCCAGAGGAGCUAUUUCUAAACGUGUGACUUUUUUGGCUGCCGGUCACGUUCCUGUGCUUCGUCUUGCUUGGCUCUGGGACCAGAGCGCUGACCACGCAGGGGAAAAGUUGUCUCCACUGGGAGCCGUGGCUGUGGUUCUGGAGUGGCUUACCCCAGGAGCACGGUCAGGAGGUGCUGCGGGACACUGCUCUCCUCCGUCAGGAGCCACAGAAAAGCCAAGGGAAAAAACCCGUCUCGUGGUUUGUAUCUGUAGGGCUGCCUUCAGAUCUGCCACUCAGCUUGCCUUCACGCCAGCCCGGAACGGCGCGGGACACACACAAACCCGAAUCAGGGAGUUCUUUUCCUUGGCAGAGGGACCUUGGCUCGACUGCCACAGAGAACAUUCUGGAGCUGAGAGACGAUUUCAUAGCCAGCUUAUCCAUCCACAUACUUGGAAAGAGACUGUGGUUAACACAUCACACUUGCUUUUCCUUUGUUGUAGUAACUGUACAUAUGAAAACCGUUUUUUUCCCCCCAACUGAACUUGUGGGCACUGCGUAGAGGCAUAGGGGUCGAAUGUUUGCAUUAUGGCUGUGGAUUUUCAUACUGUGAUGGAACAGCAAGGUGACACAGCCACUCUGUCCACACCCCAUUCCACGUCUCUCGAUGGCAGAGGAGCCAGCACAAGUUGAAAGCGAGACUUAGGACCCACACCAAACUGAGAAAGGGGAGGAGUGGUCCUGGCUCCUGCAAUCAGUGCACACUCACCAGGGAAUGAACGAGUAGGCCAGGAAACAUGUCCUCCGGCUGUUGGUUAGACGUGCCCAACUGCCUUUCCAUGUGCCCAGAUAUAAGCCAUCGUGGAAGAAUCAGCAAGAAUUUGCUGCCAAGCUCAGAGAUUUUCUCCCCAAGCAGAACUGGUGAGCUUGGGUAACUCCUAUCGUUGUAUAGCAGGGAAACUCUACACACGCGUGUUGUGGACGGAUGCUGAUCACACGGCUUUACAGUAAACUUUCUCCCAGGGGCAGGAAGCAAGGAGGAAAACCACUCGGAGAUCAGGCUAAGGCUGGCCCAAGAUUUAGACCUGAGAUGAUCAGACUUCUGAGUGCACCUGCGACCGACCAUGUCAGAACUAUCACAUCCUCCUCAACCCAUGUGAGCACCGCCCUCUCGGAGUCACCCGCAGCAAGCUGGGACUGCCACGGGACUGAGGGCUCACGGACGUUGUGUGAACACAUAGAAAGUUUUAGAAAAUUCAGUUCUUUUAAUGCUUCUUUUUCAGGUGAUAAAAUAUCUAAAAAUCGCAAACACACAUUUGACUCUCUGUUAGCGAUUACUAAUGUUAGUGAUUACUAAUGAUCCCUGGUUAUAAUGAGCGUGUGAAUUUCUUUGAAAUGAAAUUCUCUGUUGCUUUUCUUUUUAACGAAUCAAUUUGUGAUGGUUCUGGGAUUAUUUCAGACACGGAGGUAUGAGGUAUUUCUUCUCCCAUGGGCGUCAGAGAAUUUUAUGGUGCCCCCCCAGCCCCAGCUCUGGAAAAGGCACCUAAUGUUUCCCUGUUUCAGCUAUAUUUUGUAAAACUGUUAGCAAUGUCUAAGAUACGAGUGGGUGGAAAGGGGUGAGGAUUAUAUAAUGUUGCUAUUUCCUUUAACUUUCUUUCAUUGUAUGUUUGCUGAAUGAGUGUGAGUUUAGCACCAAUAAUUUGCACCCAGGACUGCAGAUUGGGACGUGCUUGGCCCCAGUGACCGUCACAGCGAGAGGACUCCAACAUUUGGGAAACGACAAAUGUCUCAUGUGCUUGGCUGCCCUAAGAGAAUACCAUAGCCUGCGACUUAAACAACAAAUAUUUAUUUCUCACGGCUCUGGAGGCUGGAAGUCGAAGAUCAGACAGCUGGCGGGUCUGGCUUCUUCUGAAGCCUAUUUGGCUCACCAAUGACCACCUUCUCCUCAAGUGUGUCCUCAAGUGGUGGGAUGGGCAAGGGGGCUCUCUGGGUCUCUGUCACAAGAGCACUGCUCCCAUCACAGGGGCUCCACCCUCAUGACGUAAUCACAUCUCAAAGGACCCAUCUCCUAACUUCACACUGGGGGCAGGUAGAUCCCCAUGGAGGAAUUUGGAUGGAGGGGAGACACAAACAUUCAGUCCACAGCCAUGAGAAUUAGAGAGGCCAAGAACACGCAAAAGACAGAAAGUUCUGUGUGGGAAACUAUCACUCGGCAAGAACUCAUAUAAAUCCUGGGAACAAUGACCUGUCAAUGUGGAUGGCAAUGAUAAUUCUAGGUGGCAAUGAUAAUUCUAAGAAGCAAUGUGAACUUUAGUUUCCAGUUUUGCUGAAGUCAGGGGUUUUAUUCAAUUAAAAAAAAAAGUUCAUCCAUUGCAUUUUGUGCCCACAGAUGAAAGAGGAAAUCGGCCUUUCUUUCAGGCACUCAGAGGGCACACAUGCCCAGAACUGCACAAACUUCACCGGUGGUGACAAUAAUGGGGCCACUUUACAUUUUACACAGGGUUGGGGUUUUCAGUAUUCAUGAUAAAGUAUGAGAAAGAUAUAGGAAAUAAUAUAACAAAGUCCCAGAUUUCUCAAGCCUUUACAGUUUGAUAUGCAUGUUUCACACGUUUUUAAGAAAUCAUAAUUUACUGGUGAGUUUGAAGUCCCUUGUCAAGCCUUUUCCUCAGAGAUAACCAGCAUCCUGAAUUUGUCAUCCCCUUCCUAUUUUAUGCUCUGGUUAUGCACUGUUUUCAUAAAUACUAUAUUGAGUUGU